rnacentral:rRNA from 1 species
AUAAGGUUAAGUUAAUAAGGGCGCACGGUGGAUGCCUUGGCACUAGAAGCCGAAGAAGGACGUGACAAACGACGAAAUGCUUUGGGGAGCUGUAAGUAAGCGCUGAUCCAGAGAUGUCCGAAUGGGGAAACCCACUAACUAAUGGUUAGUAUCCAUAACUGUUAAGGUUAUGAGAAGGAAGACGCAGUGAACUGAAACAUCUAAGUAGCUGCAGGAAGAGAAAGCAAACGCGAUUGCCUUAGUAGCGGCGAGCGAAACGGCAGGAGGGCAAACCGAAGUGUUUACACUUCGGGGUUGUAGGACUGCGACGUGGGACUUUAAAAGGAUAGAAGAAUUACCUGGGAAGGUAAGCCAAAGAGAGUAAAAGCCUCGUAUUUAAAAUUCUUUUGAGCCCUAGCAGUAUCCUGAGUACGGCGAGACACGUGAAAUCUCGUUGGAAUCUGGGAGGACCAUCUCCCAACCCUAAAUACUCUCUAGUGACCGAUAGUGAACCAGUACCGUGAGGGAAAGGUGAAAAGCACCCCGGGAGGGGAGUGAAAUAGAACCUGAAACCGUGUGCCUACAACAAGUUCGAGCCCGUUAAUGGGUGAGAGCGUGCCUUUUGUAGAAUGAACCGGCGAGUUACGAUAUGAUGCGAGGUUAAGUUGAAGAGACGGAGCCGUAGGGAAACCGAGUCUUAAUAGGGCGAUUUAGUAUCAUGUUGUAGACCCGAAACCAUGUGACCUACCCAUGAGCAGGUUGAAGGUGAGGUAAAACUCACUGGAGGACCGAACCAGGGCACGUUGAAAAGUGCUUGGAUGACUUGUGGGUAGCGGAGAAAUUCCAAACGAACUUGGAGAUAGCUGGUUCUCUCCGAAAUAGCUUUAGGGCUAGCGUCGAUGUUAAGUCUCUUGGAGGUAGAGCACUGUUUGGGUGAGGGGUCCAUCUCGGAUUACCAAUCUCAGAUAAACUCCGAAUGCCAACGAGAUAUCAUCGGCAGUCAGACUGCGAGUGCUAAGAUCCGUAGUCGAAAGGGAAACAGCCCAGACCACCAGCUAAGGUCCCAAAAUAACUGU